rnacentral:lncRNA from 1 species
CUGUGAACUGUUCUUGUGAAUACGGCUAAUUCGUCACUAUUUUUAAUCAUAGCUGCAUCUAGAAAUUCAACAUCAUAUGCUAUGUUUUCAGCAUUGUACUGAGCAUUGCAUUCUAUGUUUAUUUCUUCUCUCAUUUUUGAAAUCUAUUAAAAUUAAAAUAGAUUUGUUAAGAAGAUAUUGAUACAUAUUAUCUGUAACGACCAGGCGACUUGGAAAGAGUCUCCUUUAGAAAAUAUCAUAGUGAAAAGAGGAGAUUGGAUACGCUCCCUGGAAAAAUCAAUAAGAAGUAAAUUGUUUGUACCCAAAUUGGGCCCCUCGCCUCUGAUGUCGGGGCCGGGGGUCUUGAUCCUGUAGGAUGAGAGGUGCACGUCUCUGGCGUCAGAGAUGGGGAACUUCUAAGAUUGGGUCCGAAGGGUCCAAUCGCACCCCACGGCGCGUGGUCAAAAAGGGCGUUAUAAGCAGAGUUCCAUUGUGUGGACUUGUGGAUCUUACGAAUCCGACUACCUGCUCGCUCUUCCUUAGAAUGAUGUUCUGCCUAGCGAACGACUACAGUUCCUUUGCUACUACGUGAAUCAGUCUUCCCUGCCAACUAUAGCUGGUUUGCGGAGCUACUACCAUUGAGAUAAGUAUUCUCUUUAUCAUUGUUUUAACUCCGGGAUAGUUGGAGGUCGAGUAAUGUAACUUGGUGUCCCUAUUCUAUUGUAUUGACCUGCAUUCAGUUUAGUCUAUAUGCGUGGUAUUUACCCUUGUAUUUUCGUAUAAUUGUUGUUUUUAAUUGAAUAAAUAGUUCUGUUAGACCUUCUGGAACCUUAGUUCACUGGCUCUCUCUCUGUAGAACAAAACAAUUACCACUAGACACUCGCUUGCCAAACGCACCUGAUCGCUGGCGACGGAACACCCGACGCUUCGUAAGACAGCGCGUAAAAUUUUGGUGCCGUGACCAGGAUAGUGUCUUGUUUCGACAGUAAGUCGGAGACGGCUGAGCAGGUCACUAUUUCUUGUGAAGCCAGUUUAGUUAAGUGGUACACCGCGGAUUGGUAGGCACAAUUACGACGAACAGUGAUGAGAUUUCCUCCCAGAAUACCACUAUGGGAUCUGCGGGACGUGCUCUCUUGAUUGCCGGGUAUGUGUCUCUCCUGCCUUAUUUUUCAGAGAUGGCACUCGCCCAUCGGUUCGGGAGUUUUUCCGAACGUUCGAUCUAGGAAUGGCCCUUGCAGGGUGGUUCGAUGCUGAAAUG